UGACGGUAUCAUAUGAAUAAGCACCGGCUAACUCCGUGCCAGCAGCCGCGGUAAUACGGGGGGUGCAAGCGUUACUCGGAAUCACUGGGCGUAAAGAGCAUGUAGGCGGGUGAAUAAGUUGGAAGUGAAAUCCUAUAGCUUAACUAUAGAACUGCUUCCAAAACUGUUCACCUAGAGUAUGGGAGAGGUAGAUGGAAUUUCUGGUGUAGGGGGUAAAAUCCGUAGAGAUCAGAAGGAAUACCGAUUGCGAAGGCGAUCUACUGGAACAUUACUGACGCUCAGAUGCGAAAGCGUGGGGAGCAAACAGGAUUAGAUACCCUGGUAGUCCACGCCCUAAACGAUGUACACUAGUUGUUGCUAUACUAGAUAUGGCAGUAAUGCAGUUAACACUUUAAGUGUACCGCCUGGGGGAGUACGGUCGCAAGAUUAAAACUCAAAGGAAUAGACGGGGACCCGCACAAGCGGUGGAGCAUGUGGUUUAAUUCGACGAUACGCGAAAAACCUUACCUGGCCUUGACUUAGUAGGAAUCUUUAAGAGAUUAGAUAGUGCUAGCUUGCUAGAACCUACAUACAGGUGCUGCACGGCUGUCGUCAGC
rnacentral:rRNA from 1 species